UACGUAUGGUGCAAGCGUUAUCCGGAUUUACUGGGUGUAAAGGGAGCGCAGGCGGCACGGCAAGCCUGAUGUAAAAGCCCGCGGCCCAACCGCGGGACUGCAUUGGGAACUACCGGGCUGGAGUGCCGGAGAGGUAGGCGGAAUUCCUAGUGUAGCGGUGAAAUGCGUAGAUAUUAGGAGGAACACCAGUGGCGAAGGCGGCCUACUGGACGGUGACUGACGCUGAGGCUCGAAAGCGUGGGGAGCAAACAGG
rnacentral:rRNA from 1 species